rnacentral:rRNA from 1 species
CAGUCGCCGCGGUAAAACGGAGGGUGCGAGCGUUAAUCGGAAUUACUGGGCGUAAAGCGUACGCAGGCGGUUUGUUAAGUCAGAUGUGAAAUCCCCGGGCUUAACCCGGGAACUGCAUUUGAAACCGGCAGGCUAGAGUCUCGUAGAGGGGGGUAGAAUUCCAGGUGUAGCGGUGAAAUGCGUAGAGAUCUGGAGGAACACCAGUGGCGAAGGCGACUCUCUGGUCUGUAACUGACGCUGAGGGGCGAAAGCGUGGGGAGCGAACAGGAUUAGAUACCCGCGUAGUCCCUGUCUCUUAUAC